CAAUAGCACAGUAAGUUAAAUUAGAGCAAAGUAUCAUGAGGCUAAAAACUGUCUCUAGAUCCUAUUGACUGUUGUGUCUUGAAGGAAGGCAAUUUUCUUGUACACUUUUCUUGGAUCUUGUACUCUCCUUGCACACUACUGUAUGAGUGAGACCCUGCAGCCAGGAGUUUUUAAUAUCCUGAUGUCUACUUGCUUAUCUCUGCAAUGCAAGUAGCCAGGCAAUUAUAGGGUUUCUUCUGUUUAUGUCCAGCAUCUAAUGUGCUAGAGCAUUCUAUCAAUCUCACAAAGAAGUAUGAUUGAUAGCAUUCUGAUUGAAAUCCUGCAUGCCAGAUGAGCAAUGCACUACAAACUGCAAAGCUGGAGGCUACAUGCAAAUAGAAAAGGGUGUCGAAGUUAUAUUUGACCACAAGCUCUUUCUAAUUAAACAUUUCGCUUUCAUUGCAAAGAUUCUGAGUACUUUCUUAAGCAAGAUAACUGGGUUGGAACGGAUUAAUCUUUCUCCUUUCUGUCUCUGCAUGGAUGUUAUCUAAGCUGCAGUUAAUAAGUCCGACUUUCAUAUAAAUACUUGUAAAGGUUCUAUGUUCAAUACCUUCUUUCUCCA